AUUGAACGCUGGCGGCAUGCCUUACACAUGCAAGUCGAACGGCAGCGGGGACUUCGGUCCGCCGGCGAGUGGCGAACGGGUGAGUAAUGUAUCGGAACGUACCAUUGAGUGGGGGAUAACGUAGCGAAAGUUACGCUAAUACCGCAUAUUCUCUCCGGAGGAAAGCAGGGGACCGCAAGGCCUUGCGCUCUUUGAGCGGCCGAUAUCAGAUUAGCUAGUUGGUGAGGUAAAGGUUCACCAAGGCGACGAUCUGUAGCGGGUCUGAGAGGAUGAUCCGCCACACUGGAACUGAGACACGGUCCAGACUCCUACGGGAGGCAGCAGUGGGGAAUUUUGGACAAUGGGGGCAACCCUGAUCCAGCCAUGCCGCGUGAGUGAAGAAGGCCUUCGGGUUGUAAAGCUCUUUCGGCCGGGAAAAAAUCGCAUGGGCUAAUACCCUGUGUGGAUGAUGGUACUGGAAUAAGAAGCACCGGCUAACUUCGUGCCAGCAGCCGCGGUAA
rnacentral:rRNA from 1 species